rnacentral:tRNA from 1 species
CGGGGUGUAGCGCAGUUUGGUAGCGCACAUGGUUUGGGACCAUGGGGUCGGGAGUUCGAAUCUCUUCACCCCGACCA